UGUGGGUGAUGGACAGGGAGACCUGGCGUGCUGCGAUUCAUGGGGUCACAAAGAGUUGGACACGACUGAGCGACUGAACUGAACUGAUAAGCCUGGGGCUUGGUUGGCCAGGCCCCCUCCAGGUUCUCAACAAUCUCAAGAUUCCGCCCCCAUCUUAUCUAUGGUGCUGCACGUCUUGCACUCACAGCAGGCAGUCACUCCCAGUCACUCCCAGUCAGGGCAGUGUCCAGGCAGGUUAGAAGCAAGGUCAGAGAUCUGCUCUGCUUUGUCUCUGAAGCCUAUACAAGACUAUUCAUUAAAUUUCCCUAACACUGGAACGUGCAGUAGCUCUAUGUUUGAAAUUUUGAGAAACUACCACACAUUUUCAAAGUGGCUGUACCAUUUUACAUUCUCACCAGGAACCCAAGAGGACUGCAGGUUCUCCACAUCUUCAGCGACAUUUGUUAUCUAUCUUUUUGAUGAUUGCCAUACUCAGGGUGUGAUAUCACUUGCUUUUUAAUUUAGGGUGCGUUGAAUAUUUGUCCAUAUCAGCACUUAUAGAUUUCUUGCAUAUAUAACCACAUGUAAUAUUCCACAGAGACCAUCCUUUUCAAGAUGAUCCUGUCCUGUACCACUCUGCUCUUUCCUCCCCCAGGGCUCAGCAGCAUGGACACAGAAACAGCAGUGGUGGCUGAUUGCAUUGAUCCAGAUUUGGAAGUUGUGUGGCAGUUAAAGCAGAAGGAUAAGACUGCUCUCUACCAAGAUCUCCAGAGCCUCACAUCGGUCAGUGCCCCCAAAGAGGCAGAGUCCGGCUUCAGGCCUCUAGCCUUCUCUCUUUUGGGGAAGAAAAUACCUCUACUCCGAAGGCAGCCAGCACAUAUUUUACUCACAACAGUCAGCAGAUGGCUGUGGAUCCCAGGAAUCACAUCAGGACAAAGCUCGCUGUGCAUUUUCCAUCACUGGUAG
rnacentral:lncRNA from 1 species